AACCAUUUGUAUUUAUUUUGCCUUCUGUCUGAAUUAUGUUAAUAACAAUCAUUAAAACUUUCAACAACGGAUCUCUUGGUUCUCGCAUCGAUGAAGAACGCAGCGAAAUGCGAUAAGUAGUGUGAAUUGCAGAAUUCAGUGAAUCAUCGAAUCUUUGAACGCACAUUGCGCCUCCUGGUAUUCCGGGAGGCAUGCCUGUUCGAGCG
rnacentral:rRNA from 1 species